ensembl:lncRNA
AUGACAGCACUGAGGAAAUAACCAGAAAGCAAAGCGGUGCCGGUUUUAAAGCGUCUGCUGGUCAUAAAGCUGCAGGUGCAGCGAGUCAGACUAACCUUCGGUUCACGGCAACAGAUUGUGGACGUAUCAAUAAUGGAACUCCUGCUCUUUCUUGUGAUUCAUUGCUUUUAUUAAAAAGUCGGCCUUGUGCCGACGUCCCUUCGGCUGGACGGACUUUGGGGGCUUCACCUAUACCAACCAUCAGCCUCGCUCCCACCAAGCAAAAGAAAGAAAAGCCCUGCAAUGCCACACAGGUUGAAAGCAGCCCCCCCAAAAAACGGCUUUCUGCAAAGCAUCUUUGGAAAUAUUAUGAUUGCGUUGGUCAAAGCUUUCCCUCAUGUUUGACAGGCACAGCCGGGCCUCAACAAGGAAGCAUUGUCUGCCCCGUGCAAAGUCGUGGUAACCCCCCCGGGCCCCCCCCCCUCCCGGGGAGAAACGCGCUGCUACCAACGAGCUGAUAAGUGAUAUGAACUGUGGAGGUUAUGUUUGAGUUUUACGCUGCGGUGCGCAUAGCUUCCCUUCACUGCUCCGGGCUAAAUUUAUGGGGCGGUGGGUGGUGGACGGGGGGGUGAAGGGGGGUGGGAUAGAGAGAGGCAGCAUUGUGAGAUUACACCAAAUAAUCCCUCAUUUUACGAGCUGCACUAAGACAUUAAACCUUUCAUACAAAACAAAACUCUAUGAGGAUGCACAGCAAAGACAAUUACUUUCCGAGUGAGGAUCUUCAGUUUGGCUUCCGAGUGUCACGCUAAUACGUGUGCUUGAAGGCUGUAAACAGGUUAUCAUUACUCCCGCAAGGCCUUCCCUCCAAUUUACAGAAAUCCUGAAGAAGCAGGAGAGGAAUCCGGAGCGUAGUCUUUUACAAUUGGAUUUUGAAAAAUAAAAAAAUAGCAAACGUCUGGUUAUCACAUCUUAUAUCACAUGUUGAAUAUGAUUAUAAAUUGUACAUUUCUCAAGGCAGGUGUGGGUGAAAUUUAAUGUUUGUAUUCAUAAACUAUUAUCAAAUGGCUACAUUAAUUUUGCAAAAGGAACAUAUUAUUCUUUAUUCUUUAUUAUUCUAAGUAUUUUUCUCGAAAUAUGCCAUCAAGAAAAUCUGUUAGCCGAGUGAACAGAACUCCACCCAUGCACCACUUUACAUAAAAAGCGCGCAUCGGCACAAAGGUAUUAAGAUAUUCAACCACAAAGAGCCUUGAAUUAAAUCACGAUACCGAGUCGGACCGAGUUGUAAGUUGCAAAGCAGAUUGUAAAUAAUACAAACAUUGAGCAGUGGAAUAACGUGGGUCCUUUAACAGAUUAAACCAUCAGACUCAUACAACAAACGUGGCAAAUGCAUAAUUUGUGUCUGAUCUCAAUCAAACUCUUCUUUACUCUCUCACCGGUGACAGAAAGGUCAAGAGUAAAUGGUACAUUUUUGCUUGUUAUGCACUAUUCUCCGGUAUCAAACAAAUGUCCCUUUUACGCACAGCACUGCAAAUUGCCGCGAUGUAAUUUUUACCAGCUUCCUGCGGCUGCAAAAGGACUCACACGAAGCGGAACGUCGGGCGGAGCGAUAGCUAAUCAUUGUGUUAACGUGUGCCAGAGCAGCGCUGUGACAUCGGAUGAAAUCUUCCUGAUAAAUGGCGCUCAUGGCGGGCAGAGUCGGGUUUCUGCCAUUUUCCCCGCGUAUCAUGUUUGCUGACUGUAUAAAUGUGGUAAUUGAAAUGUAAAGCAGGCUUCCCGUGUUACAAUAUUUACACAAAACUCCUCACAUAUGGUACAGAUUGCUCGACAGCUGCUAUCAAUCGCAGGAGUCGACCAUAAGAAACACUCCGAAAUUGUUUGUCAGAUUAAGGGUGAGGGAUGUGCAGCCUCAAGGACUAAAGAUUGUGUGAUCGUGAGUGUCGCUGCCCGUUUGGUCUGACUGGUCGGACGGCAUAACCACACGCUGAAGUGCUGGAUUGUUCACCAGUUAGUCCACGGAUUUGUACCAACAAUCCUGCACUGUUUGGGCGGCUGUGGCCUUUGAGUGGAACGCCGGCGGUCCGAUCCCCCGGCUCCUGCAGUCAGCAUGCCUCAGUGUCCUCUCCAGACUGCUGUACGGGAAGUUAAUGCUUACAAUAAAUACUUCAACACGUAAUUUGCUUCAACAGUGCAAAUGAAGAGCCAAUAUGUCUGUUGGCGGUGCGGGCGUGUUGUGCUUUUGUUGGCUAAUGUAGCCACCUAGCCUGCAGGAAGAGUGCUUGGAAGCUAAUGUAUUCUUCUUGCCAAACGCUGGAGUUACAAUUUAACGUCCUUGCAAGUAAACAUAUUCAAAUCAAUGGUAGUGAAUGGAAACGUUAGCCGAGUUGAGACUUAUUUCCCCCCCGUUCUUGUGCAUGUGCUUAGAAGAAGCAGAAGGUAUUAUCCUAUGAAUUCAAUACUCAAGUAUGACAUGAAAGGCUUUUUCGCUCCACACGCUACCGAGCAUCUUUUUAAUGAAAGGAAUGAACGUGGCUCCGCCUACAGUUGUGUAGCCGGUUCUUUUUCCUCUAGCGGUUAGCCUCAAGCCGAGGUGAGUUUCGGGCUACUGGGAAGCUCGCCUCGUUUCUGCACCACGCUUCCAGAAUUUGUUCACUUGCAAACUUGAAUUUGUCAGACCUAACCGACCCCUAAUCGAUCUUCUAAUCUGACUAAAGUACGAGCUGAGCUCUUGAUUAAAACGACUUCUUUGUUGGUGUUUCCAUAAAACUCUUUCAGAUGGCCCGCAGACUCGGACUAAUACAUCUGAAAAGGCUUUCUUUCCUGGCUCAUUAUAUGCUCGGGGGUCACCGCUAAAUCUGUGGUAAUCAUCUGACCACACUCCCGUGACAUUCGGUAUUUCCAUUUAAAGGGGGUCUGACUGUAUUUGGCUGCGGUGUCCCUGCAGGGUGUACCAUAAGUCAAUAAUCCUCGGUACAUGCUUGCCAUUUUUUCCCCCUUUUAUUCUCCUUGAUGUGUUUGGUCGCACAGCUGCAUUGCAGCUCUGAGUCAUAGUAGGAUUCUUCUUUACUGUAAUGUGGAAAUAUGGAGAUGAUCAGCAACACAUGACCGGGAAUUAAUCAUUUGAAACCUUGCCAGAUCAUCUUAAAAUUGCUGUGCUCCACGCCUCCUGCCACUUAUGUUUUCUUGAUGCAGUUUUAUUUUGGUUAUUCAAAUUUACUCAUUGAAGUAUUUCAUGCAAAAUCAUCAGGGAUUGGAUCACCUCCUUUGGGUGGAUGGUUUCAAUUAAUCUUACACUCUCUUUUCCAAGAGGCAUCACCACGAAUAAAGCUAUGAUGCAAGAAAUGAUCCCUUUCUCUCCUUGUUAUCAACAGUUGCUGACAUGAUGUACAACAGGAAUAUUGGGCCUAUUUACGCCCACUUACGCCUUUACAAUUACUGCAUUUCUAUGACUUUUCAUCUUGUUCAAACAUUAUUUAUAUAAUGCAGCCAAUAUUAUAUAUAAGUAUGCACUUGAUGAGUGCUUUUGUGGAGAUCCGUGCGCUGUGAUAUCGUCCCUUGUUGAGCCGUGUUUCUACCAAGCGGUGUACUUUAGUUUCACGUUGGACCGGUUAUUUCGGUUAUUCCAAAUGCAAAAGUUAUGGCUGGUAUCCAUAGCACCAUUUCAUUGUAACCUGUUAAUGGUGACUUCAAUUCAUAAUUCCCGACCCAGAUAAAAAAUUAUGUUUUCAAAUGAUGCUCCCCCCCUUGGAGGUAAAUAUCUGCAGUUGAAACAUGCCAUUGAGAAACGGAUCUGGUACCAAACGUCAUGAUUGCAAAAAUAAAAGAAAUACCCGGCGGAAAAUCCCAAUGAAUGUGCCAGAUUUGGCCUUUAAACCUUCGUCCUAAAAUUGUGACAGCAGAGCUAUUAAAAGUUAGUAGUCAGUCUGGUUCCAGAGAGGACUGAGUGGAGGAGACACAUGUGGAAACAGGUCCUUGUUUGACAUUAAAAUGGCGGGCGGAAAGUGUUGGUUGGAAGGAUCAAUAAAGACAUUUACAAACCUUCAACAGCAACAAUAUAAGUGUCGUUUUUGGCCAUCGUUCCUUCAUGCAGUAAUGACCUAGGUAAUAUUUGACAUCUGGAAAUGUGGUGACAUUGCUAAAAAGAAGUUUUCAGUUCAGCCAAAUUUACUUGGAAGAAAAAAACAAGUGUCAAUGCUUAAAAUGUUCCAAAUUUACUGUUCUACAUUUUUGUUAUAACAUUUGUUAAAAAACACUAAAGAAGCUGACAGAUUAGUGCCAUUUGGAAGAGUCAUUAGCAGUUCUCAUCUGCUUUCCAUCCUCUGUGCUCCACGAAUACCUGCACCAAGUUUCAUGGCAAUCCAUCCGGUAUUCGUUGAGAUAUUUCGGUCGGGACGUCUGGCAGCGGUUAACCAUCAGACGUCGCAUCCCAUGACUAAAAGGGCCCACAGCUCUGAAAAUAAUUAUUCAAAGUGUAAUAAACUAGGAUCAUCUCUUUUAAUCCUUUUCUCUGAUGCGCUCUUGUCCUUUUUGACAAACAUAUUUGAUUUCUCACCGGUUGAAAUGUUUUUCUGGCGUCAUUUCAGAAUUUCAGUCACACCCUCCGUCUUCUGCUACCUGAGGAUAUCCAAAUGUUUCUCUUCAUAGAAAACCACAGGCUGGGUUCUCUCUUUUUUUUUCUCCAGACAUCUGAGUACAAUAACCCAGACCAAAGCUCAGGAUACACACCCAUGUGUUCUUAUGCUCACUCUGGCAUGAUAUUAAAACUUAUUUUCAUUACACUGAUAGUAAAUACCGAGUAAUUUAUGGCUUUGUACCUUCAGUGGACUUUACAGCAGAUGAGGUCAAACCUGCCGUGCUGUGAAUUGUGCUCACAGUCAAAUGUCAGUGCACACCACACCACAUAUUGCGGUACAUAGUUGGAUGCUUGCAUGGGAAAACCUUGUGAGACAUUAAUGACGCUUGUUAUUAAUAUCAGUCUUUAACUCUGGAUUUGAGAUGGAAGGGAGUGAUAUGCACCCCGUGUAUUCUGGACCGCGGCCUUCCUCAGCUGCCGUGGCCUACAUUUCUUGCUAUUACAGGUGUUUUGACCAAACAAGCAGUAGCUACACGCGGGCCCUGGAAUUGGUCUUAACCUUUUCUUUUUAUCUGGGAAAACAUUCCUUGCUGGUUAGAGUGUCGAUUGUCCGCCUUCGUUCAAGCUUUUCCACAAGAAUCUUUCCAAAGUACAUCAGGUUCGUAGUGCAGCCGUGAGAACGCCGCUCUCUGGAUUUGCUUGUGGAAAAUAACGAGGUACUUUGAAGAAGUUAACUUUUUGUCAUUAACGCAUCUGUCCGAUCAACAAUACCGUUCCCCUGGGUUGGCGUCUCUUUCCACCUUGAUCUUUCACUUUUUGGGUCCACUUGUUUUCUAGUGUUUGGUGUUGGCUGCUGUGAACUUAUUGCUUGGCAACAAAGUAAUUGUCAUAGAUAAAUGCCAAGAUAUUAGAUGUUGUUUAGAAAAAGGUUCAACACGAUAAUGUUGCAUAGUUGUUUCAACAACAUAUUGAAGAAAUAAUUCUACUGCUGCCAAAGAGGCCAGAAAAUACUGCUUGUUCAUCACAAAAGUGAACGUCUUCGCGAAUAAUGCCGUUUUUUCCCUGUUGUUUCACUCUUUCUCUUUUUAGUGACCAAGGGGUUCAGAAGGGUUUGAGUCGGUUGUGACUCAUGAGCCCACCGACCCCCUCAAAGUGGAACCCAUGCAAUGUGGUUUCCGUUACAUCGGCUCACUUCCACUUGUCAAAGUGGCAGCAUAAUUGAUGCUUAGGAAAGGGACGUGUCCGUGAGAAUGAGAAACUUACUGAAUUCUUCAUACCGUCCUUGACGGGUUCAAACUGUGACUGGCACACAAAACAUGCAGUCGACGCCGACUCCGUGCUGUAUUUUGCGGGCAAAGGGAUGAGCCCUAAUUGCGUAUUUUGAAAAGUUGUCAAUCCCGCAGAAUAGUUUAUGAAACCACAUUAGCGGUGUUUCAGUUUGCCCCCUCGGAUCUUUCAGCCGGCUUCUCUCGCAGGGGACACUGAGAGCUAAACUUCUGCAGCUCAAAAGAGGGAUUGAUAUUGUUUAAAACAGAUGUAUAAACCAUUGCAGUAUGUUAUUAAUGCCGUUUGUUAAAUAGACACACAAUACAGUUUGACCUGUAAUUUGUAAACCCCAAUUUAUGAAGGGAUUUAAACUGUCGAGUUCAAGUGGGUCCGGGUCAAGCUGAAUUAGGAGCGCGAUACGGUAAUGGGACGGGACUACGUCGGGACAUUAAAAAUAAAUCACUGCAGAAUUGAUUGUGAUGCAGCUCAAUUGUGGAAAGUGGAGAGCAUGCACUUACACAUUCGUUGCCAUACAUUUGUUUUACAAAAACAAAAACUAGUAGUUUUUAGUAGUCAAAAAGCCAAAGGUUUACAUUUACUUCUCUGUCAAAUCAACUAUUCAAUCAAUCGCCUAAUUGUUGUAUCUCUAAGAAUGCCAGCAGUUUGCUUUGUUACGAUGUCGCACCAAAAUGCUAAAUCUCGGCAUUGGAGCAUGCUAACUGCUAAUGCUAACGCUAACACGUUAGGCAAGGCAAGGCAAGUUUAUUUGUAUAGCGCUUUUCAUACACAAGGCAGACUCAAAGUGCUUCUCAUAACAUUUCAUACAAUAAAGUGAAAUAAAAUGCAGGAAUUAAAAGACAAUUAAAAACAGCAAAUAUAUACAUUAAAAUCUUAUUUAAAUUGUUUAAUUAAAGGCAGAGGUUAAAAGUGCAAUGUAGGUCAAAUUUAGCAGAAGGCGAAGCUGAACAUAAAGGUUUUCAGUCUUGUUUUAAACGUGGUCAGAAGUCUUAAAUCUUCAGGAAGUUUAUUCCAGCUGUUUGUUGCGUAGUAACUAAAUGAUGCUUUCCCAUGACUUGUAUUUACUCUGGGAAUCACUAACAGAUUGGUGUCAGAAGAUCUUAGUGAUCUUGAAGGCUUAUGUAGUGGAAGCAUAUAAGUGACAUACUUUGGCCCUAAACCAUGUAGUGAUUUAUAUGUGAGCAGUAGGAUUUUGAAAUUAAUUCUCUGACAUACUGGGAGCCAAUGGAAGGAUUUAAGAAUUGGUGUAAUGUGCUCACAUUUUUUGGUCUUUGUUAGUCAAUGCCACAGCUGAGCCGUGUAAAAAACAUCUCAAACUCGAAUAUCCUAGAAAUACAUACGAAGGAGAAACUCUCGUACCUCAACACACAACUGCACUCGCGUAACCGUUCAAAACGGGCUCACGAGUGGCCAAAAAAAAAUAAAGACGCGUUUCCCUCCCUGCUAAAAACCACACGUGUCCACGACCGGUCGUGACAUAAUGAAACAACCAGGUGCGAAUCCCCGAGUCUUUCGAGCAGUGCCAAGCGGUCCUGUCCCCGCGAAGUGCGAAAAAGGGAAGAACUUUUCCUCGGCGGUGGAUUUUCGCUCUUGCAGAUGGCGUCAUUAGACAUGCAGAGGAGAAUAAACACAUCCUCAUGUUCCGAGCAAAGAAUUUUAAUACUCUCACCUGCCGCCGUGCUGUUCUUUGAUGGUGCCAGCAUGAAUCGGCUCUCUUGUUGGCAGGAGUUGUUACAGGAUGAGGCCCUGUACCCCGACUUUUGAUAGGGCUUGUGUGUGUGUGUGUGUGUGUGUGUGUGUGUGUGUGUGUGUGUGUUGGUGGGUCAUCCGCAGGCUACGCUGCUCAGAUUACCGGUUGGUCCAAUACACAGAGGAGUUGACUGUGGAGUUUAAAAGCUGACUAAAAACUGUCCAUUUCAGCGAGUCAGUCAGUCACUUCUCCUUCGUCGGUGGAUUCACUCCUCCUUUGUUUUCCGGAUCGGUGGCCGGAGACCAAAUGUGGAAGGAUGAUUUCACUGGGUUCAGUUUAUGUUGGAAUGUGAGGAUUGUCCUUCCUAUUCGGAGCUGUUUAUGAUCCUCAUAUCCACUCAAACGUAGAAUAAGGCUUGAUUAGCUCCUCCCACUGGUUCAGCUGCAUAUCUUCUGGAGCGCACGUGAGCGCCGCCGAUUCACGUGACGACAAAAACGCAACUCUUUUUGCGUCCACAACAAAGUGGCGAGUGCUUAGUCGACGCAGGCGUUGGAUCCGGAAGAAGUCUAAAAUCUGAAAAAUGUAUUUCUUUCUGCUGACCUCGACUUGGAGAGACGACACACAAAAGAAAAAUCACCCGUUUCCAAUGAGAGCUGCUGCAGGAUUCACUGAGAGGAGAGAAGAAAGAGCAAAGCCGGACUUAAAUAGUUCAUAAAAGACAAUGAUGAUAUUGUAAACUCUGCAAAAUUAGAGGGGGAAGCUAAUUACCUUGUUAUAACUCAUCUCAAAUAACUCAUCUGCUCUUUGAUUAAUGAUAUCAAAUCAAUUUUCCUUGUGUACUCAUGCGGCCCACACGUUGAACAUGUUUUUCUUGUUGUUUUCAUGAAACUGUUUUCAUUGUGCGACGCUUGACGAAGCUGAUCACUGCAGGAAGGGAAACAUAUUCUAUGACUUUUACCCCCCAAAACAUGAUUUAAACAAAUAGUUGCUUUCAUUAUAAACCUUGGGGCACCUUAGUGGCUUUAAAUACCUCCCACAAGUGUUGAUUGUUUUACUAUCAAGACGUGGUCUCCUUUCUAGACUUGGGUCUAUUUAGGCGUCAUGCACAAAGCCAACAGGGGGGAUGAGACUCAUUUUACCCUAAAACUCUUCUGCCGGCAGAUUAAACUCUCGUGAUCUAUCGCCGCAGAUUCUUCCAGAAAACAUGAAUAAAUGCCGCCUUCGUGGAACCCCACCGCUCUCUGGCAUCGGUGGAGAUAAGGGGAGUAAAUCCAUUGCGGCGCUCCUGUGAGUGAGACAACAAAUCAAGCGGGAUGCGCAGAUCCCCAGUGAUGCUUUCAUUAUCAAUGAAUCUUCGUCUGCUUUUUCCAUUUCUGGCCGUCCAACGCUUCUACUACACGUUGAGCAAGGACAAUGUGAUCCGUGCAACGGGUGCACUGAUAAACUGUCCGUGUCUUAGCUGCGAGUCAUUUAGUAUCAUAGGGGUCUUUUGUAAUAAACAACAGGAAAAACAAUGUGCAGAAAACAAACUUCAUUUUAAAGAUAAAACAACAGCCCAAAGUGAAAACAACACAAUAAAAGAAUUAAAAAAAGAAGACUGUAAAAAGGGGUUGUAGCUUCUCUGUGAAGAAGGAUUCUUUAAUCUUUGCCUCUACGGCGGCUCAAAUGUCCUUUUAACAUGGUUUCAACCCAUUAAACUCUUUAUUUCUUACACAACAUGCAAACGCUGUAAUUUGUCGCCUUUACCAGCUCCUGGUAAAAGACACUCAGAGGAGAGACUGACCCCGAGUCUGCUGCCUGCUGCCUUCAGUGCACAGAGGUCAUGUAGGAUCUGUGAGUUGUGAACGCCAGACUAAGCGGGCGGGGGUCAAACGUGCACGGCCGAGGACAGCAGCCUGUCCACACCGCAUCACUCACCGGACGUCAGGAGGACGGCCGACGCUGAAGCGAGCGCGUCCGCGCAGCUCGAGGUGUUAGGGUAGUGUGCAGUGUGUGUGUGCAGUGUGUGUGUGUGCAGUGUGUGUGUGUGCAGUGUGUGUGUGUGCAGUGUGUGUGUGUGUGCGCUGCAAACACCUGAACCCGAAGCUGAUGUUGCAGAUCAGUCCAGUAAAUGAUAUCUGGGGCCGACGUUGACUUGGAAGAGGCCACUCGGACAGAUUUACUGUGUUUCUUGAUUUUUAAAUGUGUGUCUUAGCUGAGAGCAGAUGUAUUUGUAGUGAAACGGCUUCCAGACAGAAAUUGCAGCUGGUAAUAGAUUUGACCUCUUAAAAGUUCAACAAGGUUAGUAAAAAUAGUUUCAGGUCAAUGCUAGUUUUUGCAUUUAUAUUUGUUAAAAAAUGCGUCCUAACAAUUUCAUUUGACGUGCUGUGUUGUUUAAACUUCCUCAUGUCAAUGAUCCAUAAUGAGAGAUCAUUUCACACCAAAGGCACUUUAACAAGGUUCAACAACAAGUUGCCGCCUCUACAAUAACUGCAUUUAAACUUCAUCACUGAACUAAUGUCAUCAAAGCUUAAGAGUCGUUCAUAUUUCACGUGAACGAACGCGUCACGUGUCACACAGGUGUCGCUUAGCGUCUUUGAUCCGGUGGGCUGGAAACGUGACUCCGGGGGUUCGACCCUGUCAAAGCUGAAGCUGUGAUUAAUGGGCGAAGCCUUUCAGCGGUCCCUUUUCACAGCCUCCAAACAUUCGGCUUAAUCUGCCCGCUCUCAGAGGUCAGAGGUCAACCAUAGUAUGAGAAAUGGCCCGGACCUCGUGAGCAGCGAAGCGACAAGCGUCUCCUUUUACCUCUGUUUGAAAAAGAAAACACACACAGAAGAGGGAGGGGGGGGGGGGGGGACUACGUACUGUAAGUUGGUGACCUGCCGAUGACGCCAUUAGGUUCCUCCCACAGCCUCGCAAAGGCUUGCGUGGGGCUUCCAGUUAAGUUGUUGAAGAAAAAACCGGUUAGGGGAAUCAGAGGAGCUCUGCUUGAUCUCAUCGGAGGGGAAGGAGCAUCUCUUUAGAGCGUGUUUUAUUGAAAGCCGUAAAAAGGUCGGGAUGAAUCGCCCCGCAGGGGAUCAGCUCGAGGGGAUCCGGGACUACAAACUCGUCCCCCACGUCCCCUCUCCCCCCUCGAGGUAAACAAACCUCCCCGACUCUCCAUCAAAAAGUGCUCUCUCUUAAUAGACCUUUACUUUCUCCUUGUGAGGGCAGCACGUUGGAUGCGUCACGGUUUCUUUGAAGUGUGCCGUGUGUGUGUGUUUGUGUGUGUCGCCAUGCUUCAGGACGGUGACCUCAGAGCGCGGCGGUAAAGCGGGGAGUUCGGCCCUCGGGCCCUCCGCCCCCGCAGAGGCAACAACACCCGGGAGGCGGUGCCCUGAUGAAAGCCAGACGCGGCGCGUCCCGCCUUAUCUCUCCUCGGGUGUUUCCACUCCAAACAUCGCCCCACAGCGUGUGAAAGAUAGACCCCGCUCCCACUCCUGCGACAUGUUCCUCCUCCACCCCCGCUCCCCUUCACUCCGUCUCGGGACGGCGGCGCUGCCUUUUCGUCUUUGACCAGGAUGUGACUCCAAUGCGUUCGGCUUAAAACGGGCCGACCUUCUUUGCUUCUAAAAAAAAGUUUUUUAUGGCUUAAUCUUCCUUUUCUUAAAAAAAAACACACACAUUAAGUGCUGGUGCUCAUUUUCCAUGCGGCCGAAUGAGGAGAUACGAGUGGGCGCUGCUGCCAUCUAGUGCGCCUUACCUGCCUGAACGCUGCAGCCUGCAGCACUGAGAGCCUCACCGAGCAGCAGCGUCAGCUCAUCAACUCAUCCCGGGGAAGCAUGCAGCUUCAGUGAGCUUGACAUAUUCGAUUUAAACUCCUACAAACAUUUCCACCUUGGUUGGGGUGGGCCCUCGGAUUACCGAGGCCCCCGACCGGCCCACAUGCUGCAGCGCCGCGUUCCACACGCGGGAUCCUGUGUAAGCAUGUGUCAGGAUUUGGCCUUGAUUUCUUCCUCUUUUUUUUUUUCUCCUUACGCCCCGAGCCGUAAUGCGGUUGUAUAUUGACGGUUGAAUUAGCUUGUGCUCUGAUUAUUUUUUGGCUCGCACGCCGUGAUGUGUUCAAGGCCUGCCGUGAUGGAGAGCUUUCUACGUGUUGUUGCAGCUCGGCGGCGGCGGCGGCGCGAUAAAACAAUCGCAAGCCGCUUUUCUGCUCGGCUUGCUGACGUUAAGUUGCUGCCCGGCGACGGCUCUGCACGUCGUCGCCUCCCGGGAGUCGUGUAUCACUUUUACGCCACAUCCCGGGCGCAGACCCCAAUUUGUGGAAAUGUGAAUUAUGGCCACCGACUAAAAAUAACUCAAAACCAACACAGCGGGAACUCCAACACGUGUGUUAGAGGCCUGCGUGUGUGUGUGUGUGUGAGUGGGCGGGACAUGUGUGGUUAUGACUUCUAGAAAGACUUCAUCAAUGUCACCACACACACACACGCUGUUCAUUUCUUCCCGUAUCUGCAAUUUCUGACUUGCCUUAUCCUAAAUCAUUCACCCUGAUACCGCCUCACUCGGCUCUAAUGCUCAUAAUGGCUCACCUAAAGUAGGAGUAAAUGAAGCAUGACCCCCCCCCGCCCGCCGUAAGAACACCCGUCCUCUCCCGUACAAGUCUCCCAUACCUCCCAUACGAGAAACAGACCAGUAAAAUAUUUAAAGUAGCUUUUAAAUCACUUAAGCUGGGCAUAAAUCAUCCCGGUGCCCUAGUAGCCUGUGGCACAUUGGCAGCGAUUAGGAUAAUAUGCCUGAAUAAGAAGGAGCACCAUUUGCCUCUUCCAAAAUGGAACUGAAGCUCCGCUGAAUGUGGAAAAAGACGGCCUCUGGGCCGCAGCAGGAUGUGAAAGCGUCCUCAUGCAGCGCUGAAAAAAACGUGGAGUUUCUCAGCCCUUCUGUCCCUGAGAGACCAAAAACCAGCGGAGGAAUUGGGAGUUUCUCGUAUUACGAGAAGUAACGCGGACUUGUCGCCAUUUCACUGCUCUUGUUUUCCACUUGUAGUUUUUUAUUUCUGCGGGCCAAAGGUUUGGCUCCAAGGGUUUGGCGGCAGCGAGGCAGAAAAUGAAGUCCCUGGCGGGGGCUCUUUUUGGAACUGUUGCGGUGUCCGAAGGCCCCUCGGAGCCGCGAUUGGACAAACUCACCGAAAAAAAAAAAGACAAAAACCAGGAUCCCCUUGGGAUAAGAGCGUGCGGUCCGGCGGCUUUGGAUCAGCACUACCUGACUGUCAUUCAUUUGUUUGCGGACCAAAGUUUGCCGCUCGUCACUUUGAAAGGAUAUUACAGCUGGCAGAUGUCCUCGCUGACGUCUUUAACGCGGAGGAUUUGCUCUGCAAUAAUGGAGUCAUCAUUUGCCCUUUAAUUCACCCACAGCGAAGCAAGACCUGGUGAUCCGCCACAGACCUGUUUGUGCCCCCUGAGUGUAAAGUAGUUGUUUUAUUGCAUGCUUAGGCCAAAACAAUAUCCAUAUUCAGCCUGCCACAGUUCAGAGCCCUGCACUACUCCCAUUCUUCACCACUUCAUUCUAGUCCAAGACACACAAGGAGGCCGCGGAGACUCGCUUAUGUGUAUUCCUUGGCCCCGGGCCGCCUCCCGGCCCCGACAUCGGGCCCCCGCCAAUUUAUAUACGGCGCGCUGGCUGCAACGCCACGGAACGUCUGCGCAGAGACGAGGACAAGCGAUUAAAAGGCGCAGCUCGGGGUCCCGUGGGAGCGUGGCGCCGACGUACCUGAGCAAGCAGAGGAGUUACUGCCCGGGGUCAAAGGUCAGGGUCGCACGGGGGUGCUAUUUGGAAUCAAAGGUAGAGAGGCAGCCGCCGCGGGAAUAAUGAGGGAUCUCUGGGGACGGUUUGAGACGCGGAGACAUGGGCCAUAAUUUCCAAAAGAAAUGCUGGAGAUAAAUAUUAGGAUUUUUUUAUAGAGUGUGAAGCCGUGCCAGUGUAUAUUGUUGUUAAAUUCUGGUAAUUACUACCUCCCGGCCUCCUGCUGUUUCCACCAACGGUACCUGCACGUUCAUCACUUACCAGCAGCAGCUGGCCUCAGAGUCUGGUUUGAGUUCAGGAACAAGCAGAUGUGGCUGAUUACCGAAGCACUGUUUAUCUCUUUGUGCAGGUUGGGGAUGCAGCAUAAUCACAUGCAGAUUUAUGGGAACCAAUAAUGAUCAGAACCUACUUGAUCAGAGUUUACCCACAGUUUUAAUAGUUUUUUUCUUUGGCUGACAACUCUAAACUAACAAAAUGCCCCCAGCAAUCAAAGUUGUAUAACUGCUAGCUAUACAUAUAAACAAAACAAAUCUAAAUCAGUUAGAUUUUGUAGAGUUUAUUUACCAAACAACUGCAAAUAACCUCCAGUUCCAAAGAGUAGAGCAAAUGCUAAGUGACUCAAAGCUGCAUUGUCUGUUCUGACCACCAGGGGGCGACUGCUCAGGUCCCAUAUAAGUCUAUGAGAAAACUUUCCUCCUGAUUUAUUCCAUCAAUAAACAUGGCAAACAUGAGUUUAUGGUCUCAAUCUC